rnacentral:rRNA from 1 species
AACGAACGCUGGCGGCAGGCUUAACACAUGCAAAUCGAGCGCAUCCUUCGGGGUGAGUGGCAGACGGGUGAGUAACGCGUGGGAACGUGCCCUCCAGUUCGGGAUAACCCAGGGAAACUUGGGCUAAUACCGGAUACGUGCGAGAGCAGAAAGAUUUAUCGCUGAAGGAUCGGCCCGCGUCUGAUUAGCUAGUUGGUGGGGUAAUGGCCCACCAAGGCGACGAUCAGUAGCUGGUCUGAGAGGAUGAUCAGCCACAUUGGGACUGAGACACGGCCCAAACUCCUACGGGAGGCAGCAGUGGGGAAUAUUGGACAAUGGGCGCAAGCCUGAUCCAGCCAUGCCGCGUGAGUGAUGAAGGCCUUAGGGUUGUAAAGCUCUUUCGUCCGGGACGAUAAUGACGGUACCGGAAGAAGAAGCCCCGGCUAACUUCGUGCCAGCCGCCGCGGUAA